AGAAAUUUAGGUUAAGUAGACCAAGAGCCUUCAAAGCCCUAAGAAAGUAAACAAUACUUAAUUUCUG
ensembl:Mt_tRNA